CGGCGAGUGAAGCGGGAUGAGCUCAAAUUUGAAAGCUGGCAGCAAUGUCCGCGUUGUAAUCUCGAGAGAUGUUUUCCGCGUUGGACCACGUACAAGUUCCUUGGAAUAGGAUGUCAUAGAGGGUGAAAAUCCCGUACUUGAUGUGGACGCCCAGUGCUUUGUGAUACGUCUUCGAAGAGUCGAGUUGUUUGGGAAUGCAGCUCAAAAUGGGUGGUAAAUUCCAUCUAAAGCUAAAUAUUGGGGAGAGACCGAUAGCGAACAAGUACCGUGAGGGAAAGAUGAAAAGCACUUUGGAAAGAGAGUUAAACAGUACGUGAAAUUGUCAAAAGGGAAGCAUUUGAAGUCAGACGUGUAUUGCAGUAUUCAGCCUUGCUUUUGCUUGGUGUAUUUGCUGUAUUACAGGCCAACAUCAGUUUUGAGUGACGGAUAAGGGUAGAGAGAAUGUGGCAUCCUCGGAUGUGUUAUAGCUCUUUACUGGAUACGUCGUUUGGGACUGAGGAACGCAGCGCGCCGCAAGGCAGACCCUCGGGUACUUUCGCGCUUAGGAUGUUGGCGUAAUGGCUUUA
rnacentral:rRNA from 1 species